UGUACCAGUGAGUAAGAAUGUGUCAUCACUAAAGGACCACAGCAGGGGAGACUCUGACACAAAUGUUGACAAUGAAUCUCGACCACUCCAAACAUCCACACCAGGUACUGAGAAUCCCCCUGAUUCCAAAUUAAGUGGCCCCUUCUUUGGUUACUGCAAGCUUACACGUACAGCCAUUGUUUGAAUGGCAGUUGCUAGAGCAGUAAAGCCUUACACAGUUCCACUAUGAAGUAUGCUGUCACGAUUAUCAGAUAAAUGAAACAUGAAGUGUUUAUAAUGUUUAAUGUGUAGAGCAUUCGAUUUCAUUCCAAAGGGGUGUAUAUAAAAUAAUAUCCUUAUGGUAUAAAUAAC